GAUCGCAGUCUGCAACUCGACUGCGUGAAGUCGGAAUCGCUAGUAAUCGCGGAUCAGCAUGCCGCGGUGAAUACGUUCCCGGGCCUUGUACACACCGCCCGUCACACCAUGAGAGUCGGGAACACCCGAAGUCCGUAGCCUAACCGCAAGGGGGGCGCGGCCGAAGGUGGGUUCGAUAAUUGGGGUGAAGUCGUAACAAGGUACC
rnacentral:rRNA from 1 species